GCUGAUGCUCCACCGCUGAGCCACACCUGGCUAUGAUUCCUAUUUUUAGUAAUUUAUCAUUCAGUUCAGGAGACUUUGUAAAUACUGAGAAGAUUAACAAUAGAAAAAUAGUAAUGAUAUAUACUUUUCUUCUUUUUCCUACAGGUUCCUGUUGCAUGUAAAUCAUGUCCCUGUGGUUACAUAUUUAUUAGCAGAAAACUUUUAAAUGCAAAGCACCCAGAGAAAUCACCACCUUCUGCAGAAAACAAGCAUGAGGCCAAGAGGAGGCGCACAGAGAGAGUUAGGAGAGAGAAGAUUAAUUCUACAGGAAAUAAGGAUUUAGAAAACAGAAAGAGGUCUCGAAGUAACAGCCAUUCAGAUCAUAUCAGACGAGGAAGAGGAAGACCUAAAAGUGCAUCUGCCAAAAAACAUGAGGAAGAAAGAGAAAAACAGGAAAAGGAAAUUGACAUCUAUGCUAACCUCUCUGAUGAAAAGGCUUUUGUGUUUUCAGUCGCCUUGGCAGAAAUAAAUAGAAAAAUUAUCAAUCAAAGACUUAUUCUCUGAUAUUUGUCUGCAGAACGUGUUGAAACUUUCUUCGGGAUUGCAUCAGCAGAUUCUCAAACAGCUGUGGACUCUCAGGAGCAUUCUGACGGCAUUAGUAAGGGCCAGUGAUGGUUUCCUCUGUCACGGAGCCUGUGCCACAUUGGGAGCAAAGCUGUAGGCUUGGACUGUUCUGGGAUUUCAUUGAUUCCCAAGGAGUAUUGUCAGUUGUGUUUGGGAUAUAAGUGUAUUUACAAAAAAUAAAAAAGCUGGAUGACUGUUAAACGUUAAAGGGGUAAGGAUGGGAGCAGAAAUAUGAAAACUAGGGAAAUAAAAAGCUUGAUAAUUUUCAGGUUUGCCACCAGAGAUGCAAUAUUUUAAAUACUUUGAGAAAGAAUGACUUUUAAAAAUAUAUAUUUGAGAUUUUCAGCAUUAAUGGAUUGCAUAUAUACAGUUCAGUUACUUUUAACAAAUUGGCAAUUGGUAUUUUAUUCAAUGGGGAAUUAAUAUAAAUUGUAAAUUUUGUCUUAAAUUGAUUUUUUCUUGGCCUUUAUUUUUAUGACAUAAGGUAUGAGUUAUAUUUUGGGAGAUACUUUCUAGACAGUUUGGAAGUUUGGGUGCUAUAUUAAGAAAACAUUUAAGGAUAUAUGAUACUUCAGAUAUAAACACCUUGUUUUCUUGAAUGUAAUUUAUUUAUUGGUUAUUAAACAAAAACAAAAACACUUUUCUGCUCUCAAGAUGGUGCCUGUUAACCUAAACAUUAAAUAUAUUUAUUACAUGCAAAAUAUUUCUUAUCCACUUUUAAGCAGUAAUGUUUUAUCUGAAUGGAUGUUCAUUUAUACAUCCUGAUAAUUAUUUAAAUUGUUACUUAACCUCUGAAAAAAAAUAAACCUUAAUAUUUAAACUAA